rnacentral:rRNA from 1 species
GACGAACGCUGGCGGCGUGCUUAACACAUGCAAGUCGAACGGAAAGGCCCUGCUUUUGUGGGGUGCUCGAGUGGCGAACGGGUGAGUAACACGUGAGUAACCUGCCCUUGACUUUGGGAUAACUUCAGGAAACUGGGGCUAAUACCGGAUAGGAGCUCCUGCUGCAUGGUGGGGGUUGGAAAGUUUCGGCGGUUGGGGAUGGACUCGCGGCUUAUCAGCUUGUUGGUGGGGUAGUGGCUUACCAAGGCUUUGACGGGUAGCCGGCCUGGGAGGGUGACCGGCCACAUUGGGCCUGCGAUACGGCCCAGACUCCUACGGGAGGCAGCAGUGGGGAACAUUGCACAAUGGGCGGAAGCCUGAUGCAGCAACGCCGCGUGCGGGAUGACGGCCUUCGGGUUGUAAACCGCUUUCGCCUGUGACGAAGCGUGAGUGACGGUAAUGGGUAAAGAAGCACCGGCUAACUACGUG